rnacentral:ncRNA from 1 species
CAGAACCCUACAUUCUGAAGCAGAAUUCUCCAAGUGUUGGAUUGUUCACCCACUAAUAGGAAACUUGAGCUGGGGUUAGACCGGCAUUAGGUU